GAAAUCUAAAGGAGAUUCCACUGGAACAACUCCAGCCCAGUAUCUUAUCUCCUCAGGACUUAAAACUUUCAGCUCUUCCAAGAGUAGAGUGCGAAAUCCUGCCACAUGGGACUGGAUUUGUUAAUGCCAGCUUUUUCCUUAGAAAUAUGAAUAUAAAAGUAUUUUUAAAUCAGUGGAAAUACGGUUGGAAUUAGUAUGAAACUAACCUUUAAAAAAAAAAACUUUGUGAUGAUACAAAAAAAUCGUUUCCUCUUCUGGCUCUAAAGCGUGUCAAUCUAUACCAGGAAGUUUGUUCCGUUUCUAGUUCUUUCUCCCUCAGCUCGACUUUGAGUAGGACAAGCUGCAUUGAAAAGAUGAAGCUAUCCUCGCUGGAUUAGUACUCUUAAUUAUAUUCAAAAACUAAUCUGGAAGGGAGGGAGCAUCUACAAAAUAAUCUUAAUCACUGGCAUUUUUAACCAAAAAUAAUUACACCUAAACCUAAAAAGGCUAUAGCUAUUAAUAAAGGCUCACCGUACAGUGAACAUUUGGCAGAUACUGAGAAGCUACAUAAUUUACUGGACCUUUCAAAAUAAAGAUCAGCAAAGGGAUUUUUUAAUGUCAAUUUUAGCACACUAGAGGUGGUGGGAAACUUCUGUACCUUUUUAAUGAUCUGAACACAGUGUGAAACAAAACUUUAGGAACUGAAAGAAUCACUUCCCCUUUUUAAAAGCCUCUGUUUUCCAAAUUUGCACAAUUACAAGCUGAGGAUCCCCAGGCUACCACUUCUGUUGACUUAGGCUGAAAGGCUGAAAACGCUUUCAUAUUGUUGGCAUGGGAAAGACCAUACAAGCUACUGUUCAAAUGUUUUACAGACACGAACUACAACCAUUUUGAGGUCUGAAGAUAGGAUAAAUAAACUGCAAGUUAGUACUAAGAAGUAAGAUUCCUCCAAACCAUUACUUCAAUCCAAGGGAACUAACUCUCUCACCAUGAAGAGGGGCCAGCAGCCAGCCAGGCCACAGUGAAGAUGUUCAGAAUAUGUAACAGAAGAGAGGAGGUUUGUUGUCUGUCUGUCUGUCUGUGUUUUAUGGACAGUGAUUGGAAGGAGAAAAAUCCGUGCCUUGGGAAAAGGUAUCUGCAUUUUCUAUAGUAGUGGAAGGGGAAACCAGAAACCAUCAAUUAUUGUGUCGGCUAUUUCAAAGCACCAUCUGUAACAUAAACUAUAGUUCAACUCUUGAAAAGCAGAGCCUCUGUCAAAGCCCUGGAAGCUGUGUCCCAGAGUCUGCCUUUGGUUUUGAGCAUACAAACAUUUUUCUAACAUUUCAAUCACAUAUUUUAAAAUUACAAUUUUUUUUCAGAUAGACAAUUUUAAGCAUGCUUUAAAAAAUUAAGACCUCUUUUAAAACUGAAAGUUAAACCACAUUUAUCAUGGAUACACUAUCUCAAAGUGGGCUGUCUAGGUGAGCAUUUCUUCUCUUUCUCUCUCUCUCUCUCUCUCUCUCUCUCUCCCUCUCUCUCUCUCUUUCUCUCUCUGCUUUUUUACACUGCAGUUUUAGGCUUGUAAAUUCAUUUCCCCUGUUAUAACAAUUAACCUAGCCGUUAAUCAGUGGACUUUCAUUGUAUUUUCUUAAUACAUGAAUCAAGUUGUUUGUCCUCAUUUUCCAGUCUUGUUGAAAUUUCAACUAAUUUCCCAUAACACACACACACACACACACACACACUAUGGAUUGCAUUUUAAGAUUCUCUCUGGUCUGUUCCCAUCAAACAAGUACCUCUGGUAAUAAACAGAGUUCAUUUAAACAUGAGAAAUGAGGAAGAAUACAUUUCCACUAAUUGUUUGUAGGUUUUUUACAAGGUAAAUAGGAAAACAACAAACAAAGAAAACAAAAACCCAAACUCUCAUUUACAGGAAAAAAGAAGGGUGGGCCAGGCAGAGUCCUGAUCGGAACAGAAAGCAACAUUGGCUUCAGCCUCCCUGGGGACCCGAAGGGUGCCACCUGUUGUUCAUACAUCCAAUCACUACCUUUGGAAAAAUGAUAUUAAGUUUAUGUAGUUUGUGAUGGACUAUGAAUGCUGCUUCACUUUCAGCUGAUUAACUAGUUUCUGUGAACUAUGUUUAAAUGAUCUUUAAAGAGAUUUCAAGUAUUCCUCUGGCUGCUUCUGCAUCACCACAGCAUCUCUGAGCCACCAACCCAAUCACUUGAGUUUGAUAUAUACUGCAAAGACUAUUAGGUUCUCCUCUGGCUGCUUAUUUGAAGUGAGGUGUGUGUGACAUUUGUCUCAUCCUUCUAUGAGGUUAAGUGAUUACUGAUAGAUCAUCACCAAUGCGGCUGUAAAUAAUCCACAUCCUUCCUUUUCAUUAAAAAACAAACUUGAGAUUCUCUUUCCCUCACUAAUCUGCAUUAACCGUGCCUCUGACUGGGAAAGCUAGGCCAACAAAGGUGAGGGGCCUUGCCAAGCAAACAUUUUUAGCCAUGAGAAGAAACCUCCCUCUUCAUGCUUGUAUGAAAGGUUUCAGCAGAUUAAGAUAGGAUCACAGAACAGUUGUACUUCUGAGUUUAAGAACAGUAAAGAACACAGUAGCAGUGUUCUUUCUCUAACCUGACCAGCCUCACGUUUCUAUGCUCAACUGGUUCCCAAAUAAGUCUAAUACAAUUCCGUUAUGAAGAAGUUAAGGAAUGCCUGCACUGCACAGGAGACAAGAUAGGAAGGUGACACUGGAACAGGUAGAUGCAGGCACACUCAAUUUCUUGUUUCCAUUUGGAAUUACUUACUCUUGUCCAAAGGCCAAUUAUCAGCAAAUGACAUUAAGUAGACACCAGAAUAGCAAACAUUCAACUCCACAGAAAUGCACUUAAAACAGGCCUUAGUAGGUUCUAAAUGGAUUAGUAGGUUCUAAAGAGACAAUAGGAUACCUCAAGAGCAUGUGUGUGCCCACGGCCUGCUAACACAGCAAAGAAUACCAGCAGACCUUCACAGCUGCUUGUGGCAGUAGUCAUCUGGUCUAGAUGCCUGGCAUUAUGGAAGACACUGAUAACUAGUGUGACCUGCACCAGCGAUGCUGAGCAACUCCAGGGCAGAGCCAAGACUCCUCCACUGUUGGACUGUAGCCCACUACUGGUUUCUCCGUUAAUUAGUGCUCAAAAGACAAGCAAACAGAGGCCUCAGAAGUAGCCUCAGCACAGUAUGUGGUAAUUUGGACAUAAAAUUCGUUAACAAGAAGGGUGGCUACGGUCUCAUUAAUACAUAAUAAGAGGACAAAGGGAAAGGAGUGAGAUGAGGUUGAUACAACUCAACCAGGCCAUCUGGAUGGCAAGGCCCACCCUUUAUUUGAAGGCGAGAGGUGCUGUGGACAGAGUAUGUGCUGACAUCAUACUGAGCUAACUGGACAAGUAACUUGCUAGUAUCAAACAACAGUCUGUAAUCCACCAACCUCCUUAGCUGUCAACAAGCCCUCUUUCAGAAACCAGAGACUUAAUACCUUUAAAACACUCUCCCCAUAAAAUGUAGCAAAGUCACCUUGGAAGGCCAUUUAUGACUGGUGAUACCUGGCUUUCUUUACCCUGACACCACACACUGAGACAUAUCAUACAUUAACUGGUUUAUUGUCUAUAUCUGGGAUUAUAAAGUACUUCAGUAUCAGUUUUACAACCAGCUUUCUCCCUAGCAUCUAGGGAAGCAGCUAGCUAUUGUUACUAGGUGUGUCACUAGGACAAGAAGGAUAUUGUAUACAAGUAUGAAUAAAUGAUCCUCCAACCCAGAAGCUCUUGACUUUGGAAGAAGGUAUACUCUGCCAAUGAUGGCUGAGGAGGGGCCCUUCUACAUUUUGAUCACAAGUCCCAAACACAUCUCUGCCACUAUCUGAAUUAAGUACAGAAUUGACUUAGGAAUAAAAAGGCCGGAAAACAAACCAGAGUCAAUGGAGUCAGGGCAUGAAACUGCUUUAAACUUCCAGAUAUAUUGUAUACACAGACUACAGUCAACAGCUUCCUAGCUCUUGGCCCAUCUCUCUAUUGCCUUUAACUCCUUCCCCCAAAUAAUGAGAUUGAAAGUGGUGAAAGAGCACCAGGUGAAUUGCCGUAGGGCAUGAAAGAACACAGCAUAGUAUAGUGGUUUCUCCCUAAUGAAGAAGGAUUCCUCUGAAUCUCUGAUCUCUGUGCCUUGGCUGUGGGCUUGGAAGGUACAAGCAUGUGGUCAAAUAACUAACACUCCAUGUAACUGGGAAGGAGCAGACUGUUUUCCUGUGGACUUUGAUUCCAGACUUUCUGUGUGUACUUCCUAUAUCUAAAUUUCCAUGAGAGGUAUUUUUUCCUAAUUCCACAGUUAGGCAACUUCACUGCCUACUAUGAAUCCAGUGUAGGUCUUUCUUAUAUCUUGUUUCAGAAACGGCAAGCAAACCUUGCUAAGAAUAAGAUGGGCUGGUGGGACAGAAAGCAAGGUCACCACACACCACACCUUGUCACUAACCUCUUGGCACUAGCCUUAACCUCUUAGCCUAACUUUUGAACUGAUGAUGAAGAACAGGCUCAACAGUGCCUGUGGCUCCAGUUGUCCUUGGUCCCAUCUCUGCCUCUCAAUGAGUUAAGUGAAAAACUGUAGAUUACAGAGAUUAGCUCUUUAUAAAAAUUAAACAACACAGGAAUUAAAGACACACACACACACAUACACACACACACACACACACACACACACCCAGAGCCCCCCAAAACCAGAGCCUGAUGUGACUGGGUGCAUGCUUUUGAUCCCAGUACUGGAGAGGUAGAGGAAGGAAAGUCAAGAAUUCACAGCCAUCCUUGGUUAAAGAACCGGUUCAGCCAACCUAGACAGACUCUUAGCUCAGCUGCCUCCUUCCCACCCCCAAAUUAAAUAACAGAAUAUAGUUAAUUGCUGAGCUUGCUUGUUAGUGAUGCUACUGGUUACAGACAGAUAGUAUUGUCUCAUUGGAGAAACUAAAGAGUUUUAGGAAUAAUAGGCUCUGCCAUUCAUUCACUGGGCCAGCCUCUUGUACCCUUGUUUCCCCAAACCUCAUAAAGGAAAUAAUGUCAUUCCCCAAGUAUCCCCAAGUAUCUCAGUAUUUGGGCAAAGACUGAAUCGUGGGCAAUAGUCCUUUUAGGAAUUCUGAUCAAGUAGAGAAUUUAUUUAAAAAUUGAUCUGUCAAUACAAACAGAUUAAUGCAGUUCGGCCUAACAUACGGACAUUAGCCCUGCAAGAGCUCCAAAUCACCAAUGGAGCAGCCUCAGGGAGAAGGGACGUCUUUUGAGAUAGGCUGCUCCUACAAAAGCGGAACAGCCUGAUUUAUGCGGUCUCAUAGCCCACUAGUCUGGGAACAAAAGUUUAAAGGUGAUUUUUUUUCCCUCUCUGACAUUUUUAAAAAUGCAAAUCAAAACAAAAACAGUCUCUUGAGCAGAUCAUAAGAGGAAUGUACAAUAUUCAUUGCAUUUGGACUGACUGUCUGCAACUGUUAAACUUGAAGAAAGGAACAGCUAGGCUAAGGAGCACAUGGGAAAUGUCCUGUUUUUUUUUUUUGUUUGUUUUGUUUUGUUUUUUUGUUUUUUUUCUGAACCCAAAGGAAUGCAGAGAUGCUGUCUAAGUCGCUUAGCCUAGCCUUAGCUUGUGAGUCUGCUAAUUGGGAACAACAAAAGAGGUGAAUCACUCUGGAAUUUGUGGGAAAUGAAUCCACUUUGGCUACAGGGAAAAUUACCAUUUAAAAAUAGCAUCUCUUCAUUCAGUGUUAACAUAAACAUUCUAUCCAUCAUGUAUGAAAUGGUAUAGGUAGGAGGCAUUAUAUAAAAAUAAAAAACAUUUAUAAGAUAUAAAACUUGUAUAUAUAAACAUACACGCAUGUUUAUACAACAGUAUGGGGAACUAUCAAAUAAAGGCCACAACUUUGUCAAGGGAUUUGUGGUUCCAGUCACCUCUUUCCACAUUAUACUCUGCAGGAGUCUCCUUACAGUCUCACUGAGCACGUUAGGUAGAGCAUAGAUACAAGGAAUCUAAGACAAAGGUCAGGCUUCCUGGCCAAGUCCUACCUGACCUCAUCUGCCUUUGCCUCCCAGGGUUCCUCUCCUCACAGCAAAGAAGUGACACGCAUGAGAGCACUGUUUCCUGUGUUCUCCGAGUUUUAGCCCACUCAUUCAAGGAGGGUUAUUAUAGUCCAAGAAAAUGUUUUUUCUUGGGUAUAUAGAGUCCAAACCUAGUGAAGGGUAUAGAAGUAUAUCAAUCCUUUAAGAGCAAACAAUAUAAAACAAAUUAAAAAGCAGUACAAGACAAUAUUGAAUAGAUGUCAUAGAACUAAGGGCUGUGAAGACUGUAGAAUGGAGGUAGGCCAGAGCUAGACAACUCAAAGCACUGCUCACAAAAAGGGAAAUGUCACUGGGCUUCUGAACACUGUAGAGAGGUUGGGUUUAUUUCAUAAAAGUCUACUAGGCAAAGAGCCUAAAGUAAAAUUUAAAACAAAAGUUUAAAAUAGGGUCAAGACACACACAGUGAUUAUUGAACCCACUACUUAGCCCUCACAGCAACCUGGACUUCCAUGGAAAGGAAGACAACUUAAAGAUUUCAGUGUCUAAGGUGAAGGGAUCAUGUGUGCUGCGGAAGCAGUUGGCAUAGUUCCAUCCCUAGAGCAGAUGUUCAGUAAAUGCUGCCUAUGACUAAGUUGUGCCUGUCUUUCUACAAGGCUUCUUACUUGACUAGGCUUACUAUUAUCUUCUACCGGACUGAGAUAGAGGGGUUGCCUCAGGACCCAGGAAAUGCUUUGUAGGAUGCAGCCAAGAGGAGGGUCAGGUUCUCUGACACCCAGCAAUCAACCAGAGAAAAUCUGUUUCUGACCUAAUCUCAGCCACUGAGAGAGAAGUUAUCCUUGGUCCCAAUUCCCCUGCUGGAAGGCAAUGAAAACCCAUGAAAAAUCCACUGCUCUCCUAAAGGUGUCAAAGGUGCCUCAUCGCUUGAAGUAAGACCCAAGUUACUGAGCUAUUAAUGUAUAGAAGAGAGCAAGUAACACAAAAGGCUUAAAAACUAUCCUGGAACCUGUUUAAUCUUGAAAUUUCACCGAGCCUCAGCGUCAGAGGCACACAAAUGAAGUUUCAAGUAUUUUCAAUUUAGCAUGACAUUUUAAGUGUUAGAACACUAAGGUUUACUUCUUUGCUUUUAACUACAGCUGUAACUUUUACCACAACAAAUGCUUCCUAUAGAAAGGAGCAAAAAUCUGAAUGUCAUGAAAUUCCAAAUAAGGUUCUCAAUAUAGUUACAACCCACUAAGGCUUGCUAAGCCAUGUGAUCUCUUGAUAUAUUAACUUGUAAACAACAUUAAACAGGAAAGGAAGAAAAACUCAAAAGGUUGCUGGAGGCUUUUGUUUUAUGGAAAGGAGGUCUGAGGAUUGUUCAAGGCUUUCCAGAUCUUAGUCACAAAACUACUGCCUUCUUCCUGCAUCUGUGAGGUGGGCGGCAGGUGAAAGAAGGGCCAACAGUUUGUUUUGAGAGCAUUCUGGUCCACAUUCCCUGCCUAUUGAAAUGGGACUUGUUAAAAUUGGUUUUCAACUGUUUACAAAGUUUAGUUUUGCUUCCCCCACACCUAGUAGCUUUUUAACUAAUGAAAACAUGAAUAGUUUGCCUGCUCUUAAAAUUCACAAUAAAUGUAAACUAUAGUUUUAUGGAUGGGUAUUCAUAUAGCAAAUGUAAAAUACACUUGGAGGUUUCUCUUUAAUUAUGCCAUACAUAGACCAUGCCUUACAGAGAGAAACAUAACUACAGUGACUAACAUUUUACUAGCACACAGAGUCCCAAGACACGUCAGGUAUCGCCGAGUUGUGGUCAUGUGUGUUGGAAAACUGUUGCUGAAUACUGACAUCUUGAUGGAAGUGCCUAGAGUAUAGCAAGAUUCAUGUCAUGAGCCUGAGCUUAGACAUCAGAUGUAACGCAAUGCUUAUACCCAUGGGUUUUCUGAAGGCUCAGAGAUGUUAGAAAAUAAAAAUGUAACCCAAACUGCUCUGAAGUAUUGGUCCAGGGGAAAUUAAGGCUCUGAUAACCAACAUAAUUUUAAUUAGUACAAUGAGUGUAAAGGGUGUGAAAAACAAAUCCAUAAGACAAUAGUUACCUGUGUUCCAAUAUAUUUUAGAAAAGAAAAAGCAGAAACAAAAACGUUUCCUGCCUGCCUGUAAUUUGGUUUUACAUAUGGCCUCAAACUACAGCUUUCCAAAGUCAUAAAGCAAUGCUUAGGUUAUCAAGAACUAAGAAAAGUUGGUGAUAGCAGACAGAGAAUGGCCACUGUAGUCCUUUUAACAAGAAAACAGGCUACAGAGUAACAACCCAUUCUUCAACUACUCUACCCUCUAAAUACUAUUAAAUGUUCCCAUUUCCCUAAUUUAUUACAGUUAAAAUGAAGAAUGAAACCAAACCAAAACCCCAAGUCCUGUCUAAGAAUUGAAAUGUUUCUCAUUUUACACUCUGGGUAUUUUUAUCUACCCAGUUUCCAUGGCAAACUGUAUGAUUUCAGUAGUCACAGUAAACCAUAAGCCUCUGUUGUUGUGGUUUUAAAAUUUCUGAAGUUUGAAUUUCCCUCAAACAAGUUUGGAAAUGUUUGGUUUCCCAAGCAUACCAUGCUAGCCGCUGCCUCUGUGUGGAAAGCCAGGCUCCUCACGAGGAGGUGAAAACCAGUGAACUCAUCCACUCUGGCUCAUGACCGGUCCUUGCUUGGAUGUCUUAAUGCCAAGAAAUUGAUUAAGUAAGUCAAAGAAAGAGAAAAUUGAGGAAGAGGGUAACAGGAAGAAAGGGAGAGAAAGAGGGAGGGAGGGAGGGAAGGAAGGGAGGGAGGGAGGGAGAGAGGGAGGGAGGGAGGGAAGGAGGGAGGGAGGGAGGGAGGAAGGAAAAAAGGCUAAAAAUUUGGGGUGAUGGUUUUGGAAAUAUGCUCAAAAACACCCAAAGAAAGAUAUACUCCUUACAACUAUUUUUAAGGAGACUAAAAGAAACAAAACCAACCCAUAAAUCUUUCAAAUAUAUACUUCCAAUAUCUGAAUGAAAAUAACAAGGUCUAGAAAAGUUUUAAAGGGGGGGGGGAGUAAUCAAUGAGAUUUUGAAAAAUUUAACACCUGUUAGAAUACUUUUCUAGAAAAUCCAUUUCUACUUCCUUAAUCUACUAAGAUAUAAAAUAACAGUUAAAUAUAAUUUUUAAGUAAGAGAAAUACAUAUAAAUAUUAUGAACAAGCUAAAAUGAUUCAAACAUUUCCAAGAGCAUACAGUUAUUAUGCCCUUCAAGACGCUGAGAAAAUGCUGUUAAAAAUAUUUUCCGAGAACUUAAAAGUUCCUUAAAAUGUUCUAUGGAAAUGGUAUUUAUGACACAGUUACCUCCUCUAGGGACUGUGAGAUGUUAUUACUGGCAAAGUCACAAUUUUUAAAACCAUCCAAAAAUAAUUACAAAUUUAUGCUGAGUGACUAAACUUGCUAUAUUAUUACAAUGAAGAAGAGGAUAUUUGUUAAUGUCCAUAACCAAGGUUCAAAGUGCCAUGGGCCCAUAGAGAACAAACCAAUGGCGAGUAGUAGUAGUGACUCUUCCUGCCUUUGACAGGUAGGAUGUUCUAACACACAGGUUCAGACAGGAUGGUGCACAAGAUACAUGAGAUCAUGGGUGUAAACAUAGCUUAGCGAUGAGAGCAGAGGUCAGAGCAUCAAUUCUAUUGACAUUCCGGUUCUGCUAAUUCUGAGCUGGACUUCUGACAAUUACUAAAGGUUUCUGAGCCUGUCUGAGUGCUCAUUUAUAAAGUAAGGACAAUGAUUCUACAUGCUAUAAAACAAUUGCUCAACCGUUUCUAUUAUUUCCACACUCUAGAGGAAAGGGACUACUGUGUGUCUGCUAUUUAUAUUUAUCCUCUAACUCCCUAAUAUUGUAUCUGAUACAAAAGCAGAACAGGUAUUUGUCCGUUCAAAUAUCUACUGCAUAUCAAGUAAAUACUAUUCAUUGCUUUCAAGGUGGAAAUGAAGCACUGAAUAUAACAGAUACCAGUGACUGGCCAGUUUACUAAAUAAGAUGCACAUGCAUGAACACACAUACACACACACACACACACACACACACACACAACCUCUACCUAUAAAGUUUAUAUCCUUUUUUCUAGCUUUAUUUUAAGUGUAGGAGUGUUUUGCCUACAUCUACGUCUGUGCACUACAUGCAUACCUUGUGCCUACUGACAUCAGAAGAGGGUGUCCAAUCCCCUGGAGUUAUAGAUAACUCCAGGUAAGCCAUCAUGUAGGUACUGGGAAUUGAACCUGAGUCCUCUGGAAGAGAAGCCAAAGCACAUAACCACUAAGCCAUUUCUGCAGACCCUGAAGUUUAUAUUCUAUGGAAUAGUCACAUAAAUAAGCAAUAGAUGGUCUGGUAAAUGGGACUAGAUAAGGUAAGAGUCCUGUACCUCCCAAGGGGAAACUCAAAACAAAGGCACACAGAAAACUCAAAACCUGGUAUGACUGGGGCAUACUGAGUAAAGGGGAGACCAGUAGGUCAGAUGGGAGAAACAGCAAACUCUUCUAUGGCCUAUGUGUGUUCUCUCUCAUGUGACAUGGUUAAGUCGGGGUGGGCAUGUGACUGUGUGAAGCACAGGUUUAGCUGCCAAUAUAUUCUAAUUCUGGUUUGGUUAUCUGUGCUGUUCAGUAAGUUAACUGUUCUAAAUUAUAUAUGUUUAGUUCCUCCCUAUCCUGUAAGAUAAGUGCUUGCUUAUACAGCUAAAAGAAUUAAGUAAAAUCAGGUGAGACACUAAAGACCUUCAGUCUGUCUGUAUUCUCUUGUGUGGGUGCCACAUAGCACACUGGGACCUAGAGUCCAGUUCCAAGACUAAAAAGCUGUGAGCUCAAUGGCAGGAAUAUACAACAAGCUGCUGUUUUACGUUAAUAUUUUCACUAUUAGAAUUUAUCUCCCUACUAAAAACUUUCCCAUAACUUUACCCAUUAUUUUGUCUUUUAAAGUCUGGCAAAUUUAAAUGAAACUUGUGAAGACUUAUUUCAUAGCCAGAUUAAUUUACUUUUUCUGCCCCUGCUUGAGGACAGUGAUCUAUUGGACUAAUCUCCAAGAAGGGCUGUAUGACAGAAAGGAUGGAUUAAGUAGUAUUCAUGUAAGAGGAGAGACCGGGGACCUUUCAUUUGUUUGUCUGUUUCUAGACACUCUAGUCUGGAAAGUACAGGAAGAAAUUAGCAUCAGUAGUUACAGUUUGGAAGAUAAAUAAUAAAGUGGGAUGCCAACUUUUAAUGUUCAAAUGUUAAGAUAUUUAUUUGUAAAUACUAAUCUGUAAACAAAAACUGAAAUCCAUAUUGCUCAAGGAGUUAAAAGCAUAUAAAAUCAACAACAACUUCACUAAUGGAACAAUAUGAGUCACUAAUGGUGAUGCCAGACACUUAGAGGCUGAGACAGGGAGAUUGCAAGUUCAAGGACAACUUGAACUAUUCUAGGGAGAUCCUGUCAAAAAUCUCCCAAUAUAAAAGCCUUAAGUUACCAGUUCCUAUCUUUCAACCUCUUAUGUUCUCAGGAGGGAGGCAGCUUUGCAUAGCUGCAUCCUCUAAACCUUGUUUGUUUUUUUUUCCAUUUUUUUUUUUUGAACAGAUCACAAAACAUAAAUAAUCUUAGUGGUCUUAACAAUUUAUUUUUAACUCAAGAAGCAAAGACUACCAAAUAUUUACAGGAAAACAAAAACAAAAGUCUGUGCCCUUCAGGUCUGUCCUAAGUCAGCUGGCCCACCCUGCCACCUUUGCAUGCCCGAACAGAUCAAGCCUGAGUUGUGAGCCCCGCAGAGAAGGUGCACUUUCACAUUUACAGGAGGAAGAAUAAGUCUGACUCGAGUGUCAGACAGGCUUUGGGGAGGUCAGCUAGUGACAUCCAUUUGGUACGCUGCACUGCACUGGAAAUUGUACAUUCACUUUCUUCUGGGAAGGGAGAAGAGCUGAAGAGUAGAUCUGUGAACAAAAAAAGAAAUGAAAACUAAUGGCUGAUCUCAUAUACAAUUGAGCAGCAGAUUAAAAAAAAAAAAAGGUAU